GAUGAACGCUGGCGGCGUGCCUAAUACAUGCAAGUCGAGCGAACAGAUAAGGCGCUUGCUCCUUUGACGUUAGCGGCGGACGGGUGAGUAACACGUGGGUAACCUACCUAUAAGACUGGGAUAACUUCGGGAAACCGGAGCUAAUACCGGAUAAUAUUUCGAACCGCAUGGUUCGAUAGUGAAAGAUGGUUUUGCUAUCACUUAUAGAUGGACCCGCGCCGUAUUAGCUAGUUGGUAAGGUAACGGCUUACCAAGGCGACGAUACGUAGCCGACCUGAGAGAGUGAUAGGCCACACUGGAGCGGAGACACGGUCAAGAGUCCUACGGGAGGCAGCAGUAGGGAAUCUGCCGCAAUGGGCGAAAGCCUGACGGAGAAACGCCGCGUGAGUGAUGAAGGUCUUCGGAUCGUAAAACUCUGUUAUUAGGGAAGAACAUACGUGUAAGUAAAUGUGCACGGCGUGACGGUACCUAAUCAGAAAGCCACGGCUAACUACGUG
rnacentral:rRNA from 1 species